UACGAAGGGGGGCUAGCGUUGUUCGGAAUUACUGGGCGUAAAGCGCACGUAGGCGGGUCGUUAAGUCAGGGGUGAAAUCCCAGAGCUCAACUCUGGAACUGCCUUUGAUACUGGCGACCUAGAGUUCGGAAGAGGUUAGUGGAAUUCCCAGUGUAGAGGUGAAAUUCGUAGAUAUUGGGAAGAACACCAGUGGCGAAGGCGGCUAACUGGUCCGAUACUGACGCUGAGGUGCGAAAGCGUGGGGAGCAAACAGG
rnacentral:rRNA from 1 species